GGUCGAAUGGCGCAAUUGGUAGCGCGUUACUUUCCGGUAAGAGCACGAGCAAUCGUGUUUCCCAGCUGGUAAAGGUUCUGGGUUCGAGUCCCAGUUUGAUCG